rnacentral:rRNA from 1 species
CUGAACCCCUCCUCGGCCCCGGGUCCGGAUGGAUUGCCAGUCACGUUUUUCAAAACUUUAUGGCAAACCAUCAAACCGGAAGUCAUGGCCCUCUUCGACGAAUUCUUUUCAGGGACCAUGGAUCUUGGGCGCCUUAACUAUGGGGUCAUUACUCUCAUUCCCAAAGUCCCAGGGGCCUCGGACAUUCGCCAGUUCCGACCGAUCACGGUGAUCAACGUGAUCUUCAAGAUCUUGGAUAAAGGGUAUGCCAAUAGGGUGACCCUUCUAGCUGACUCCAUCACCCAUCCCAACCAAUUCGCCUUCAUUCAAGGCCGGUUUAUUUUGGAUGGGGUUUUGGUCUUCCACGAAGUCCUUCAUGAAGUCCGAUCCAAGCACCACCGUGCGGUCUUCCUAAAGCUCGACUUCCAUAAAGCCUAUGACACUGUCCAUUGGCCCUUCCUUCGGGAAGUCUUGCUCCGCAAGGGUUCCGAUGACUGGUGGGUGACCCGAGUUAUGCAGCUCGUCACCUACGGUCGGACGGCGGUUAACAUUAACGGUGAGAUCGGGUCCUUCUUCCCUACUCUAUGUGGGGUACGCCAGGGUGACCCGUUCUUCCCGCUUCUAUUCAACAUGGUAGUCGAUGCCCUCGCGGUCAUCCUUGAUAAGGCCAAAGCUUGUGGCCAUAUCCGUAGCGUAGUCCAUCACCUGGUGGGAGGGGGAGGGGUCUCCCUCCUUCAAUAUGCGGAUGAUACCAUCAUAAUGGUGGAGGGAUCCGCGUCCGACAUUGCCAACCUGAAGUUCCUACUCCUGAGCUUCCAAUAG